GGGAAAGAACACAACCUCCAGCAAAGUGACCCCUGCAGAGUCUUGAUUCUGAACCAGAGAGAUGUGUGCUGCUGAGUGAGGGCCCUCAGCCUGGCAGGACCUUGGUAGCACUGGAGAUGUCUGCAGGAUCAGAGGAAAUUAGCAGUCACUUCCGUUCCUCAGGUGACUGGGCUUGUAACUCAGGAGAUAAAAAGAGAAAGCUGGUCCAAAGAGACAGAAAAAGAAUAAACCAAACACAGAGAGAAACAGAGUGAUGACACCUCCACAACCCGAGAAGACGGUUAGAACCCCAGCAACACCACAAGUGGGCCUGUACUGAGUCAUUAGUAUGCCAGGUACCCUAUCAGGUCCUUUCAUUCAUUGUCUCAAUUAAGCCUCACACCAGCCUUUAAGGAUGGGUAUUAUUAUCACCCAAAGCCCCAAAAUGGUAAGA